GCAAGUCGAGGGGCAGCACGAGAGCUUGCACUUUGAUGACGACCGGCGCACGGGUGAGUAACGCGUAUACAAUCUGCCUCAUACUAGGGGAUAGCCCAGAGAAAUUUGGAUUAAUACCCUAUAGUAUCAUUUAGAGUCAUCUCUUUAUGAUUAAAGGUUACGGUAUGAGAUGAGUAUGCGUUCUAUUAGUUAGUAGGUGAGGUAACGGCUCACCUAGACCACGAUAGAUAGGGGCCCUGAGAGGGGGAUC
rnacentral:rRNA from 1 species